AUAAUAUAGAUGGCUGAAGGAUGACAAGCAUUCGAUUAACGGUUCACGCAAGAAAAUAGCCUCAUUAAAUGUAUGAGUAUCUACACAUACAUAACUCAAAAAAUCUGAUUCAUUAAUUUUAUCUGUAUCUCAUGUAUAUCAUAAUUAUGCUCAUACAUAAAAUAGGUUUCGCAUAUACUUUAUAUUUGUUUUGCCUAUUAGAAGUGUGUCCCAUAUUUAUACCCCACCCGCAAGUUACCGGCUGAAAAACAAACAUGGUGGGCGAUGUUCCGGAACUUGAUGCCGCAGAAAUAUAAGCAAUAUUCUGGAUUUCAAGCAUCGAAACCUUAUAGUGUUAAAUGGCGGAUAUUCUCCUAGAUCAACGUGAAAAACAUAGCAUCUUAAGCCCGAUAGAAAUUAUAAGGCGUUUCUUUGACUGGAAAAUUGGAUUAGUCUUUUGUGUUCGGCGUUGAAAGCAGUGCGUUUCGGAUUAAUAACAUCAGGAGCCCGGUCGACGCUGCAGUCCUGCGGAAAUCUAAGAUUGUGAAAAUUCGGAGCCCUGACUAUGCAGCGAAUUGGCCAGCGAAGCUGCAGCAGCCAAAGUGUGCCAACCAAAGUGUGCCAUCUCCAUUGAUAAAAUUUUCCAUUGGACAAAGAGCGAUUUUCAGUUUAUAUACCCACGAAACCGAAGAUCUGAUUUUUUUUUUCGUGUUUUCAUAUCUCUGAAAGCCUCGAGGUCGUAGCUGGUUGGGUUGAUAUCUCAGCCGACAUGUAAUCUGUGUUUAUAUAGGGGAAUUGUACCGGUUUGGUCAUGUUCCUAAUUUGUCCAAUUUUGUGAAUAACUCUAAAAAUAAAGAAAUUCCCGAGGGGUUUUAUUAGUAACAACAAGAGAUAUAUCUCUCACGGUUCUACGCUGCUUUUAACUGAUCGAUGAUUUUGGAUAAAUGUGUAUUUUUCAGGGUUGACCAAAAAUUGGAUCUAAGGAGGCCAAA